CUUUGGACUUUAACACGAGCUAGCAGGAAACUUGCACAAUGUUCGGGACAGGCUGACAGUCAAUUAUCAGCAUCUUUUUUUCUCCACAGCACUUCCCCUUUUGUACAUACAUCCUCCAAUUCCAAUUCUGGACUUUUAAAAGGAGACCAUUUCUUUUUCCAGACAGUGAUUUCCUUCAAUAUCUCCCCGUGUCUCUGUGUGUUUUCAACAGGCGGACCCAUGGGGCUACAGUCUUGCAAGCCUUGCAACUCCUGCCUGCAAAGUAAGGAGGAAUGCCGACCGGCUGGCGGCUGCUGCUCGUGUGUGUGUGACGACUGGAGGAAUUGCUCUGAACACUGCUGUGACAUCUGCUGCCAGAUGUGUGUGGACGUGUGCUCUUGUGUGUGUUCAAGAGACUGCAGCUACACCUUCUGUACAUUUUGCCUCGGCCUGGUGCGGAAAUGUGUCUGGGGGGUACAAAAUGAGACAUUGUAGGCACAACAGGCUGUGAUGAAUCCGGUACAGCAUGCUGAGUGAACACGUGACUGAAGCCAAAAGAUUCAUCGAUUUAAGACACGGAGGUUGCUGCCUGAUUGGAAUUCAUGCACCUCAUCGAGGCCUGGAGUUGGACACUGGUCAUUUUUUCACUGAGGAACACCUGUACCAUCUGCAGCAAUCCAGUGCAACAACAGCAACACCAACUUCAACCUGAACAAUGACUGUAGAGUGACUCAUAAAGGUCGUUAAAAGGACAAGAUUUAUUGGAGGACUGUGGUAUUGGAUUUGAUUAGACUCUACUGCUGUACCUAUUAAAUGGGUAACUCGAUAUAUAAACUGGUGCCAUGAAUCUUGUCAAUUAAAGUGAUUUAUCAAUUUAA